CAGUGUUAGUUUGUUGGAAUUGUUAGCAUUUAGUAAUUUAUAUUCUGUGAUUCAAGUCUCGGUUAUCACUUAUCAAUUUUAAUAACAUUGAUAGCUUGAAAAGGCGGGUAGUCAGUAGAUAGUCAAUGCCACUGGAAAUUUAUAUAUUCUUCGAUCUUCGACAUAAAAAUAGUCAUAUACUACGUGGGAAGGCUUUGAUUAUUUAAAAAAGCAGAAUUUGAUGGAGAUACCGAGUGCUAGCACAACAAAUUUGACGGAAAUGCCUUCAGUUGAAAGAACAUCGGAAACAUCUCACCUCGUAUCAGCGAAUAAUAAUUCUAAACCUAGUUACUUAAAUAUUUUGAGCAAUAUAUGUGCUCUUUUGUUCACGGGGAUAAUAUUUUAUUGCUGUUUCAAGAAUGGAGUAUCUUUGUUCUCAUUUCAUCCUACGCUGAUGUCUUUAGGGUGGCUGAUAUUUAUGACUUCUGCUGUGAAUGCUGUUACUCCGGGAGACUUGGCAACUGAAUGGAUGCCCAUUAGGCUCAGAAGUGCUCGUCACUGGGUCUUACAAUUAGUAGCAGUACUAUUUGUUUUAAUUGCAUUUUUCGUUAUACUUUCAAAUAAAAUUAUCAACGACAAAGAACA